UCUCCUUCUUCCCGGGCGCAGGCCUCGCCCGCACACACCUUUCCAGCCGCCGCCACCCCCGCCAUGCUUCCAGAGGCCGGAAAAACAAGGAAGACGACCCCCUGCACCAUGUGUGAUGUCUGAUGGAGGACUACAAAUGGAGUCACUAAAAGGAUCUAGUUUGAGGUACUAGGAAGGAUAAGACAUCACUUUGAAAAGAACCCCUGUCAGAGCAACGUGGAUUCUGCUAA